GUAAUGCCUAGGAAUCUGCCUGGUAGUGGGGGACAACGUUUCGAAAGGAACGCUAAUACCGCAUACGUCCUACGGGAGAAAGCAGGGGACCUUCGGGCCUUGCGCUAUCAGAUGAGCCUAGGUCGGAUUAGCUAGUAGGUGAGGUAAUGGCUCACCUAGGCGACGAUCCGUAACUGGUCUGAGAGGAUGAUCAGUCACACUGGAACUGAGACACGGUCCAGACUCCUACGGGAGGCAGCAGUGGGGAAUAUUGGACAAUGGGCGAAAGCCUGAUCCAGCCAUGCCGCGUGUGUGAAGAAGGUCUUCGGAUUGUAAAGCACUUUAAGUUGGGAGGAAGGGCAGUAAGUUAAUACCUUGCUGUUUUGACGUUACCAACAGAAUAAGCACC
rnacentral:rRNA from 1 species